rnacentral:rRNA from 1 species
UACGUAGGGCGCAAGCGUUUAUCCGGAAUUAUUGGGCGUAAAGAGCUCGUAGGCGGUUUGUCGCGUCUGCCGUGAAAGUCCGGGGCUCAACUCCGGAUCUGCGGUGGGUACGGGCAGACUAGAGUGAUGUAGGGGAGACUGGAAUUCCUGGUGUAGCGGUGAAAUGCGCAGAUAUCAGGAGGAACACCGAUGGCGAAGGCAGGUCUCUGGGCAUUAACUGACGCUAAGGAGCGAAAGCGUGGGGAGCGAACAGG